AGCUUUGAGCAGGGGCAUUAUCAUAGCCACUGAAAUUUAUCUGACUCAUGAUUACUGCUAAUUGAAAUCCUCUACUACUAUUGUAUUCAUAUCAAUGUUCCCAUCAUAUCCAUUAAUAUUUAUAUAAGUUGCUCUGCU
ensembl:snRNA U4 U4 spliceosomal RNA